rnacentral:rRNA from 1 species
CAAUAGCGUAUAUUAAAGUUGUUGCAGUUAAAAAGCUCGUAGUUGGAUUUCUGGUAGGAGUGACCGUGCCAGACUUGAUUGUCUGUGUAUUGUGUUGUCUCCAGCCAUCCUUGUGGAGAACUUUUCUUGCAUUAAUUUGUAGGGAUUGGGACCCGCAUCGUUUACUGUGAAAAAAUUAGAGUGUUUAAAGCAGGCAAUCGCUUGAAUACAUUAGCAUGGAAUAAUAAGAUAGGACUUUGGUACUAUUUUGUUGGUUUGCAUACCAAAUUAAUGAUCAACAGGAACAGUUUGAGGAUAUUCGUAUGAACAUGUCAGAGGUGAAAUUCUUGGAUUUUGAUCAGACGAACUACUGCGAAAGCACUUAUCAAGGAUGUUUUCAUUAA